ACCUUUACUAUAGCUUGACACUGAACAUUGAGCCUUGAUGUGUAGGAUAGGUGGGAGCUUUGAAGCGUGGACGCCAGUCUGCGUGGAGCCAACCUUGAAAUACCACCCUUUAAUGUUUGAUGUUCUAACGUUGGCCCUUACCGGGGUUGCGGACAGUGUCUGGUGGGUAGUUUGACUGGGGCGGUCUCCUCCCAAAGCGUAACGGAGGAGCACGAAGGUUAGCUAAUCCUGGU
rnacentral:rRNA from 1 species